rnacentral:rRNA from 1 species
CAAUAGCGUCUAUUUAAGUUGUUGCAGUUAAAAAGCUCGUAGUUGGAUUUCGGGUUGGCUUCAGCGGUCUCGCUUUGCGUUUGUACUGCUGCAGCCUACCUUCUUGUCGGGGACGGGCCUUCGGGCUUAAUUGCUUGGGGCCCGGAGUCGACGAUGUUACUUUGAGUAAAUUAGAGUGUUCAAAGCAAGCCUACGCUCUGAAUAUAAUAGCAUGGGAUAACACGACAGGACUCUGGCCUAUCGUGUUGGUCUGUAGGACCAGAGUAAUGAUUAAGAGGGACAGUCGGGGGCAUUCGUAUUCCGUUGUCAGAGGUGAAAUUCUUGGAUUUACGGAAGACGAACAUCUGCGAAAGCAUUUGCCAAGGAUGUUUUCAUUGA